rnacentral:rRNA from 1 species
AUUGAACGCUGGCGGCAGGCCUAACACAUGCAAGUCGAGCGGAUGAAGGGAGCUUGCUCCUGGAUUCAGCGGCGGACGGGUGAGUAAUGCCUAGGAAUCUGCCUGGUAGUGGGGGAUAACGUCCGGAAACGGGCGCUAAUACCGCAUACGUCCUGAGGGAGAAAGUGGGGGAUCUUCGGACCUCACGCUACCAGAUGAGCCUAGGUCGGAUUAGCUAGUUGGUGGGGUAAAGGCCUACCAAGGCGACGAUCCGUAACUGGUCUGAGAGGAUGAUCAGUCACACUGGAACUGAGACACGGUCCAGACUCCUACGGGAGGCAGCAGUGGGGAAUAUUGGACAAUGGGCGAAAGCCUGAUCCAGCCAUGCCGCGUGUGUGAAGAAGGUCUUCGGAUUGUAAAGCACUUUAAGUUGGGAGGAGGGGCAGUAAGUUAAUACCUUGCUGUUUUGACGUUACCAACAGAAUAAGCACCGGCUAACUUCGUG